GGGGAAUUUGGGUCUUAUUUAGGAAGAGGACAAAAAAUGGGGGAGUUUGGGUCUAAUUCAUGAAGAGAAGAUACACAAAUUUGGGUAUUUAGGUGGGAAUUUGGGCCUUGUUUAUGAAGAGAUGACACAAAAAUGUGGGAAUUUGGGUCUUAUGAAGAGAGGAUACACAAAUGUGGAUAUUUAAGUGGAAAUGUGGGUCUUGUUUAGGGAGAUACAGAAAUUUGGGUAUUUAGGUGGGAAUUUGGGUCUUAUUGAGGAAGAGACAACACAUAAAUGUGGGAAUUUGGGUCUUUUUGUGAGGAGAGGGUAUAAAAAUGUGGGAAUUUGGGGUCUUAUGAAGAGAAAAUAGACAAAUGUGGGUGUUUAGGUGGGAAUUUGGGUUGUAUUUAUGAAGAGAAGAUACACAAAUGUGGAUAUUUAGGUGGAAAUUUGGGUCUUGUUUAUGAAGAGAAUGCAUAAAUGUGGGAAUUUGGGUCUGUUUGUGAGGAGAGGGUAUGAAAAUGUGGGAAUUUGGGCCUUUUUUAGGAAGAGGACACACAGAUGUGGGUAUUUAGGUGGAAAUUUGGGCCUUGUUUAUGAAGAGAUGACACAUCGAUGUGGGAAUUUGGGUCUUAUGAAGAGAGGAUACACAAAUGUGGGUAUUUAGGUGGAAAUUUGGUCUUAUUGAGGAAGAGACAACACAUAAAUGUGGGAAUUUGGGUCUUUUUGUGAGGAGAGGGUACAAAAAUGUGGGAAUUUGGGGUCUUAUGAAGAGAAAAUACACAAAUGUGGGUGUUUAGGUGGGAAUUUGGGUGUUAUUUAGGAAGAGAACACACAAAUGUGGGAAUUUGGGUCUUAUUCAUGAAGAGAAGAUACACAAAUGUGGAUAUUUAGGUGAGAAUUUGGGUCCUGUUUAUGAAGAGAGGACACACACGUGUGGGAAUUUGGGUCUGUUUGUGAGGAGAGGGUACGAAAAUGUGGGAAUUGGGGCCUUUUUUAGGAAGAGGACACACAGAUGUGGGUAUUUAGGUGGAAAUUUGGGCCUUGUUUAUGAAGAGAUGACACAUAGAUGUGGGAAUUUGGGUCUUAUGAAGAGAGGAUACACAAAUGUGGAUAUUUAGGUGGAAAUUUGGGUCUUGUUUAGGAAGAUAGAGAAAUUUGGGUAUUUAGGUGGGAAUUUGGGUCUUAUUGAGGAAGAGAUAACACAUAAAUGUGGGAAUUUGGGUCUUUUUGUGAGGAGAGGGUACAAAGAUGUGGGAAUUUGGGGUCUUAUGAAGAGAAAAUAAACAAAUUUGGGUAUUUAGGUGGAAAUUUGGGUCUUGCUUAUGAAGAGAAUGCAUAAAUGUGGGAAUUUGGGUCUUAUUCAUGAAGAGAAGAUACACAAAUAUGGAUAUUUAGGUGAGAAUUUGGGUCUUGUUUAUGAAGAGAGGACACACACACGUGGGAAUUUGGGUCUGUUUGUGAGGAGAGGGUACGAAAAUGUGGGAAUUUGGGCCUUUUUUAGGAAGAGGACACACAGAUGUGGGUAUUUAGGUGGAAAUUUGGGCCUUGUUUAUGAAGAGAUGACACAUAGAUGUGGGAAUUUGGGUCUUAUGAAGAGAGGAUACACAAAUGUGGAUAUUUAGGUGGAAAUUUGGGUCUUGUUUAGGGAGAUACAGAAAUUUGGGUAUUUA
ensembl:lncRNA